UACGUAGGGUGCGAGCGUUAAUCGGAAUUACUGGGCGUAAAGCGUGCGUAGGCGGUUCGUUAAGUUCGUUGUGAAAGCCCCGGGCUCAACCUGGGAACUGCAAUGGAAACUGGCGGGCUUGAGUGUGGCAGAGGGGGGUGGAAUUCCGCGUGUAGCAGUGAAAUGCGUAGAGAUGCGGAGGAACACCGGUGGCGAAGGCGGCAUCCUGGACCAAUUCUGACGCUGAGGAGCGAAAGCCAGGGGAGCAAACGGG
rnacentral:rRNA from 1 species